rnacentral:lncRNA from 1 species
CCCCGCCCCCGGCGCACAGUCGGAACCUCCCGGGACCAUCAAGCCGCCGUCGCCGCUGUUACCGCCGCUCCGAGCCCGGGCCGGGCCGAGGAGGAGCGGCCCCUGCCCCGCCGGGGGAGAUGGAGGCCAGAACGCUAGAGGAGGCCGUGGUGUUCGGAUUUGCGGGGCGCGGGGUGGGGACGGGGGCGAGUGCGGGAAGGGCACCCCCGACUUCACCCUUUCCGUCCGUCUAGUCCCCACCCCUCCAUUUCCGCCCGGGUCUCCCCCUCCCCUGCUGUGCCUGUCUGUAGUCCACCUCCCUGGGUUUGUCCAUUUCCUCACCUCCUCGCUGCACCUUCAUCCUUCCUGGUGUCUGCACCUCUCCCUCUGCUUUUCCAUUUGCCUCACUGUACCCCGUUUCUCCUUCUGCACCUGUGCCCCAUCUCCCCUUUCACUCUGUCUCCCGUCUCCUACCAUGUGUCACCAUCCUCCCUCCCCUCUGCCUUCUCCCUCCGCGAGUGUCAUCCUGUAUUUCUUCCCUUGCCUGAGUCCCCGUACGCCCCUCUCCAGAUCAGUGGGACCGUUAGUUUUUAAUUCGGAUCGACUAAGGUGCGACCGGAAACUGCAGUCCCAGGCGCCAGACAACCACCGGGAUGGUCCCUCGCCCCACCCCACUGCUCCUCCUCACCUCUUCUAACGUGUUGCAUGCCGGGAGUUGGGGAGGGAAGGGGCUGCCGGCUACAUCCAGGAGGCUGAGAUUCGGGGGGCAGAAUCAAUCUGGGAGACUACCCCGGCCGCGGCGGCGCUUCAGUGGACGGGUGGGAAGAGAAAGAAAACUCUUUUAUUCUGGGGGAGAGGCGUCUCUCUUCCUUAUCCUUAAGUUCUUGUUACUCCCCCACCUCUUUUAAUUUAUUUCGCUGUUUCCGGAGGGAGGGGGGGGGUUGGGUCGGGAACUGUCCGAGGUGCUGAGCUGGAGCGGGACCAGUAUCCUCCCGGGAAAGUACCAGGGACUGGGUUGGGCCUGGGGCCGUGUCCAAGGUGCCAAUGAUGCGGGCCGACGGCGCGGGCCGCACUGUCUGUCUGUCCGUCUGUCCCGAAGAACUAUAAAGCGCUGGAAGCGCCUGCAGAUGGUU